CUGAGGAGAGAGGUCACAAAAGUGGCUGUGCUUAUCUUAGAGAGUAUACAGCCUUGAUGCUGCAACCACUGAAUGAGGUGCAGCUUUAAGGCCACUGCAGGAAGCCUCCUGAAAGACAAGACCUACUCCAACAUGGUUCAAGGGCUGGAGGCCUGGUGGUGCAGUCCAUGCCCUCCCCGCCUGCUUUUUGGUGGUGUGUCAGUUCUGUUACAGGUCUUUUGUUGCCCUGAGCAUGGGGCGUGAACUGGAGUUCCUCUGCCAUGUGUCAUGGGUGAGCCUGGGUGAUGUAGGUUUCUGCUUCUGGCAGACAUCUGAUUAUCAGUUGCUGUCUACAUUCUGUUCUCAGUAGACUGCGAGCCAUGGAUGUGCUGUGGAUGUGAACCAGUCCAGCUGAUGUGGACACCCCCUGUCUCUGCAACAGAAUCUGCCAACCAGAAGCUCCUGAUGGAAUCUCCAUUGCCUAAAUUCCUUUUGUUUACUUUUGACUAGCAUUUCAACCUUCUGGGGUCCCUAACUUCGUCCAAAGUCAGCAGGAAUUAACAUGAGAAUGAAUACGUCACCCAUUUUCCUUGGUUAAAAUGCUAAGUCAAAAGGAAUUCCCUUACAUGGGCAGUGUCAAUAUCUCUCACUUCCUGAUGGGCACAAGAGAAGGACAGCAAUUCCAUGAUUGGAAUUUCCAAAAAAUAAAAUGGGGGAAUGAAGGCAUCAGCUCCCCAUUUCGGCAACCAUGACAGCCUGCCAUGAAUGCCAUGGCAGACAUGUAUGCUUGCCAUGACCCUGCCUUGGUCAAUAGAGGUAAGGUGCCUGCCUCGUGGCAAGGAACCAAUCAGAAUUUAGCUGGUGGUGCUAUGGUUUACGGCUCUGGGUGUGCCUUACAGACAAGUACACAGCAAUGGUGCCCAGAGCAUGGCAACCACCCUGGGAGGACCUAUGGGCCAUAACAACCAAUUGGCCAAUCAACACAUGGUAAACACUCCAAACCUUGAGGCACAACAAUCCUGAGCAUGUGCGUAUCCCUAGACACUCCCCGUACGCUGCCUUACAAGAUCUCUAUGCAGCCCCAUCCAGCUGUCUUUUGUAGCCAUCUGCCUUGGCGUGUGGAUGAAAGACACGAGUUAACAUGGGUUUAGCUUGCUAAACAACAAUAAAG
ensembl:lncRNA